GUUGCUUUUUUUCUGUUUGUUUUUAAAAGAUAUGCUUUCUUGGAGAAACCUUGAAGCAUUGAUGUCACCAGCAGCACAGUCUGUUCUGUUCCAAAGCCUUGUCUGGAUGUAAUUGACAACUAUAUAGACACAGCUGAGGGGAGGGUGUCCGAUUCUGCUCGUCCUCAGUUGUUCUCAAAUUACAUGAUAAAGUAGAAAUUUUGGAUCCUUUAUACCAGAAAGAGUUACGGAUUCGUUACAAAGUCUGUACCACAUUAGCAGGACUAGUUGUAGCUGCCUCCACAGAGCAGCCUAGGAACUCAGAAUUCCAAAAGCAAGGUGCUUGCGAUACAAUUAUUUUGCCUAUUUGGAAAGGGAAGACUCCCUGUGAUUUGAGGUUCAGCUCUUUCUCUGAAUUGUUGCAAUCUGUUCUCAUGACCCUUAAGAUAUGCGUAAGGUUUUGUUUGGGCACCGUAUGGAGACUAGCUAUUAGUGCAGUGAUAAUAUAGCUCAGUUAGAUCUUGGGGAGAUAUUGUCUGAAGUGUGCAAGAGGACAUUCCGAAUUCACACUUGGCUGGCACACUCCAUCCCUGGUUCAUACUAUCACAAACAGACCAGAGGCAAAGAACUCUAUCACUUGCGCGUGUCCUCAGUGACUCUUCCUUUCCGAAGGUAAGCAUCAGAAUUCUUCCGGUUUGGGGAGACUAUAAACGCAGUGAGGGCCCGUGGGUCCACACACGAUCCAAAGCAGGUGUCUGCGAAAACGAAUCGCCCCGCGAUCCUGCGGAUCCCUGGCCGCUAGCGGCGGGCUCCGAGCGCACUCCGCCCGGUCACCUGAGCGCACCUGUCCAGUCCUGGCCUCGGAGAAAGCGGGGCUUCCCCCGGGCACCGCCUGCCCCGGAGGCGAGCGGAGGGUAGAGCAGGGCUGGGGCAGGCGGCCCGCAGGUGUGGCCCUACCUGCCGCCCGACUGGCCGCGGCGGCGAGCUGGGCGGGAGCCGGGUGGGUGAUGGAUGGUCUCCCCGCCCGGGUCCGAGCGGCGGGCCGAGCGGAAGGUAAAAACGCGCAAGCUCGGAGCCUCCCGGCCGGAGCCGGGAGCGAGACGCAGGCACAAAAGGACCCGGCUGGGAACGUUUAGAUUUUGAAGAUGAGUUUCUAGUCCAUCUCUGUGGGAGAAAGCAAAACGCGCUCUGGGAAAGUGGCGUGCCAAGAACCUCGCAGAAUUUUGGCCUGAUGUUUGACAAAUCAUUUUGCCAUCCGAACAACCCCUAAGCCUCCCCUUCCGGAACAGCUUCUAACUCCUGUUUGUCGUGUCUGUGAAUGAUGCUCUAGCAGGAUCUGAGACAGUUGCAGCCUUUCAUCUCAGGAAAUAGCAAAAUCAUUGAAAAUACGUUUAAAAAAAUUGUGGAGGGGGGUGCACUUUAGAUGGUCUGUGCAGGAUAAGACAACUGGAUAUUAAAUGUUUAACAGAACUUGAUUUCAAAAAGAAUAAAAUGAGAUAGACGUGUUCUAGAGAUAUCGUCUGCAGAUUAGAAUGUAAAAUUUUCAUAAUUUGUCUGGCUCUUACGUGUUUAAAAGUCACGAGCAAUUUGAAUAUGUUUUCUUUAUCCUUGCAAAAAGAUGACAGCGAGUGGUUUUAGGCAAUUCGAUUUAAGAAGUGUCCUUUUUAAAACUCAUUAGGUUGAGAACGAGAGUUGAAACAGACAGACGGGCUAACAGGAAAAAAUAUAUCGUGAACAUCAUGGAGAUGGGACUGGUAGAGAGCUACUGUAUCAUUCGGGCUCUUUGGCAACCGAAGGACAGCUUCUUCCUGAGAUUGUAAUUGACAGAAGGAGUGAGUUCCAGUCUUAACACAGGAUUUGAGUCAAACACAGCUGGGUUCAAAUCCCAUGUCUGCCACUUAUGAGAAAGCUACUAAACUUAUCUGUGGUCACUGGUUACCUCGCAAGUGAAAUAAGGAUAAUCGCGAGUGUUUAUCAGAAUUUAACAAGUGAUACAAGGCAGGGAUCCAGUUUCACUCUUUGGCAGGUAAAUAUCUAGUUUUUUCCCAGCAUCACUUCUUGAAAAGACUGUCUUUUCCCCUUUGAGUGUUUUUGGCUCCCUAUACAAAUAUUAAUUGACCCUGUAUUUGUAAGUUUAUUUCUGUGCUAUCUAUUAUACGCCGUAUGUGUGUUUUAUGCCACUACCCUUCUUUUGAUUUCUGUUGUUUUCUGGCAUAUUUGAAAUUAGAGGGAGGGAUGCCUCCAACUUUGCUCUUUUUUUCUCAAAAGUUUUUUGAGUAUUCAGGGUCUUCUGUGGUUCCAUAUGAAUCUUAGGAUUGUUUUUUCUAUUUCUGUGAAAAAUGUCAUUGGCGUUUUGAUAGAGACUUUAUUCAGUCUAUAGAUGGCUUUGAGUAGUGCAGCCCGUUUAACAAUAUUCUUCCAAUACAUGAGUGAGAAAAAUCUUUUCCUUUGCUUUUUCUUUAACUUCUUUCAUCAGUGUCGCAGUUUUCCAUGUACAGGUCUUUCACCUCCUUAGUUAAAUUUAUUCCUGAGUAUUUUAUCACUUUUGAUAUGAUUGUAAAUUGUGUUACUUUGUUUCUUUUUCAGAUAUUUUAUUGUUAGUGUGUAGCAGUGCAACUGAUUUUUGAAUGCUGAUUUUGUAUCCUUCAACUACUGAAAUCAUUUAUUAGUUCUAAAAGCGUUUGGUGAAAUCUUUGUGGUUGCUACAUCUAUAAUAUCAUAACAUCCACAAAUAGAAACCAUUUUAUUUCUUCCUUUCUGAUUUGGAUGACUUUACUUUUUUUUCUGGCCUAAGUUCUCUGACUUGAAUUUCUAGUACUAUGUUGAAUAGGAAUGGUGAGAGCAGGCACCCAUAUCUUAUUCUUAAUUUUAGAGGAGAAGUUUUCAGCUUUCCACCAUUGAUUUUGUUUGUUAUGGGUUUGCGAUAUAUAGCCUUUAUAUAUUCAUGUAUAACUUUCCCAUUCACAAUUUUUAAAAGCUUUAUCAUAGAAGAGUGUUGAGUUUUGUCAAAUGUUUCUUUGUACAUCUAUUGAGAAGAUCAUGUGAUUUUUAUUCUUCAUUCUAUUAAUGUGGUAUAUCACCUUUAUUGAUUUGCAAAUAUUGAACCAAACUGGCAUCCCAGGGAUCAUUCUCAUUUAACCAUGGCGUAUGAUCCUUUUAAAGUGCUAUUGAAUUUGAUUUGCUUGAAUUUUUUUCAAAAUAUUUUUCAUUUAUAUUCAUUAGGGAUUUUUGGCCUGUAGUUUUUUUUUUUUUCCUUUCUUUCUUUCUUAAAUUGUGCUUACCUGUCUUUGCUGUCAGGGUAAUGCUGGCCUUAUAAAAUGAAUUCAAAAGUGUUCUAGUCUCUUCAGUUUUUUUUUUUUAUUAGGAUUUGAGGAGGAUUGAUGUUAACUCUUCUUUAGAAUAGAAUUCACCAGGGAAACUGUCUGGUUCUGGACUAUCUGUUCUUGGUAGGAUUUUAAUUACUGCCUCCACCUCCUUGGUCUUUAUUGAUCUGCUCAGAUUUUCUGUUCCUUCUUGAUUCAAUCUUAGAAGAUUGUGUAUUAUAGGACUUUAUCAAUUUCUUCUAGGUUAUCCAAUUUUUGGUUCUGUGGUCAGUUGUAUUCUCUCUUAUUUUACUUAUAAUUUUAUUUGAGCAUUCCCUGUUUUUUCUUGGUUAGUCUAGCUAAAGAUUAGUCAAUUUUCUUUACCUUUCAAAGAAACUAGUUUCCUUGAUUUUUUUCUAUUGUCUUUCUUGUUUUCAUUUCUUUAUUUGUGCUCUUAUCUUUUUAUACCUUUCCUGUUGCUAAUGUUGGGCUUAGUUAUUUCUCUAUUUAAUUUCUUGAGGUGUAAAGGUAGUUUGUAUGAAAAUUUUAAAGGUGUUUAUAUGGAAAUUUUCUUUUUCUUAAUGUAAGUAUUUAUUUCUGUAAACUUUCCCCUAAAUACAGUUCUGUUCUACCACAUAAGUUUUCAUGUGUUUUCAUUUUUAUGUGUGUCAAGAGACUUUCUGAUUUUUUUUUUUUAAUUUCUUCAUUGACCCAUCGGCUGUUAAGAAUUGUGUAGAUUAAUUUACAUGCAUUUAUGAAUUUUUCAGUUUUCCUUCUGGUUUCGAUUUCUAGUUUCUUACUAUUUUGGUCAGGAUAGAGCCUUAAUUUUAUUUCAAUCAUUUAAAAUUUGUUAGUGCUUGUUUUGUGUUCCAAAAUAUGACCUAAACUGGAUGAUGUUCUGUGUGAGUUUGAGAAGAAUGUGUAUUCUGGUGCUAUUGGAUGUAAUGUGUUGUAUGUGUCUGUUAGGAUGUAAUGAGUUGCAUGUGUCUAUGAGGUCUAUGGUAUUAUUCCAGCACUCUGUUUGCUUCUUAAUUUUCUGUCUGGAUGAUCUAGCCAAAGUUGAAAGUAGGGUGUCGUAAUCCCCUAGUAUUACAUAGUAAUAUUGUAUUGAAUUCUCCUACUAUUAUUGUAGAGACAGAAAUACAAGAAUGUGACUCCUUUUGGUUCUGUUAAUAUUUGCUUUAGUUAUUUAGGUGCUCCAGUAUUGGGUCCCUAUAUACUUACUAUUGCUAUCUGAUUAAUAUAGUUCUUAAAUAACCUUACUUGCUAAAUUAGAAUAUUGACAAUCAAUUGUGUAUCCUUAUUACUUAUUUUUGUCUUUCUUUUUGUUACUGGACCAUUAAAUCCUAAAUCUGAGUCCCACUGACCAAACACAUAUUUACAGCCCUCCUGCUAAAUGGUAGAUGCCCUGUUCUGAGCUGGAAAUAAACUCAGGACUGAGCCAAGGACAGAGCCCCUGCCCCUAUAGGCCAACUUCUUGAAGGUAAGGCAGACACUUUCUUUACUUCUCACACCUCUCUUCACUUCUUGCCUAACUCAUAGUGGGUGAUUAACAAAUAAUAAUAAAAGGUUAAAAAAAAGAGAAAGAAUUGAUGCUUUUGAACUGUGGUGUUGGAGAAGACUCUUGAGAGUCCUUUGGACUGCA